GCCAACAUGGUGUAAUGGUUUGGGUGUUAAACUUCAUCUCUAGAGAUCAGGGUUCGAUUCCCCACUUGGCC